ensembl:lncRNA
CUAAAUAGAGGAGUGGGAGAGUGGAGCUGCUGGACUCUAAAUAGAGGAGUGGGAGAGUGGAGCUGAUGGACUCUAAAUAGAGGAGUGGGAGAGUGGAGCUGAUGGACUUAAUGGAGGAGUGGGAGAGUGGAGCUGAUGGACUCUAAAUAGAGGAGUGGGAGAGUGGAGCUGAUGGACUCUAAAUAGAGGAGUGGGAGAGUGGAGCUGAUGGACUUAAUGGAGGAGUGGGAGAGUGGAGCUGCUGGACUCUAAAUAGAGGAGUGGGAGAGUGGAGCUGAUGAACUCUAAAUAGAGGCGUGGGAGAGUGGAGCUGAUGGUCCCUAAAUAGAGGAGUGGGAGAGUGGAGCUGAUGGACUCUAAAUAGAGGAGUGGGAGAGUGGAGCUGAUGGACUUAAUGGAGGAGUGGGAGAGUGGAGCUGCUAAUGAGCUUUCAUCCAGACAAAAGGUUUCUCAGUCAGACCUCACAUUCAGUGUGUGUGUGUGUGUGUGUGUGUGUGUGUGUGUAUGUGCAGUGGCAGAUUUAGGUAUAGGUGACAUGGGCGGCACUGGGUGCCCGCACAAAAGCAAAAUGGAAUGGUGACGUUUGCAUGAUCGGUUUUCUAUCGCUCAUUUGUCCGUCACGUCUUCGUUUGUGACCAGGUAGUUUGCACUACGAAGCUGUUCGGCCGUUGUUUUCUUUAUUGUUUUCUUUUGUCUAAGAGUUUCACUUCAACAAUAAAUAUUAUGUGGAACUCAAGGAACGCUGCGCCUUGGUCUCAUCCUUCCGACGACAGCCGUUACAGAAGAUCCCACCACAAAGAGACCAAGCAGCUUUUCCUGGACUCCUGGACAUGGGAGGAGAUUUUAGACGGACAGGGACCCUGGAGACAGGCUGGGGAAUAUCGUCGCCCCAAGGAAGAGCUGGAGGCAGCUAAAGCGGAGAGGCGGUGAUAUGAGGCAAGGCAGCGCAGCAGGCACGAGGCAGCCCCCAAAUUUUUUGGGGUGGGGGGCACACGGGGAGAUUGGCGGAGUCAUACCUGAGCCAACUCCCCGUGCUUACCGGAAGCAGCGGGGUACUGGCCAGGCACAGUGUUAUGCGGUGAAGUGCAAAGGGUCUCCAUUGCGUGCUCAUAGCCCGGAGUGCUAUAGGCCAGCCCCCCGCAAGUGCCAUGCGAGAGUGGGUAUCCAGCCAGGGCGGAUUGUGCCAGCUCAGUGCGCUUGGUCUCCGGUGCACCGUUUCGGUCCAGGGUAUCCUACGCCGGCUCUGCGUACUGUGUCUCCGGGGAUUUGGGAGGGUUCAGUUCGCCCUAUGCCUGCGCUCCGCCCAUGCCAGGCGAAUAUGGGCAUUGAGCCUAAGGGAGAGGUACGAUUGGUGAGCACCAGAUCUCCAGUGCUCCCCCACAGCCCGGUUCGACCUGUGCCUGCACUCUGGAGGGGCCGGGCUAAAGUGGUCAUCCAGCCUGGAGGAGUGGUGCCAAAGCUGUGCACCAGAGCUCCAGUGCUCCCCCACAGCCCGGUUCAUCCGGUGCCUCCUCCACGCACCAGGCCUCCUGUAGGUCUCCCCACGCACCAUGCUGUCUCUCCGUCUCCUCCCUCCAGGGUCGCCCUCCUGUCCGGAGCUGCCAGAGUCGCCCUCCUGUCCGGAGCUGCCAGAGUCACCCUCCUGUCCGGAGCCUGCAGUGCAGCCCUUCAGUCUAGAGGCACUCUUCAGUCCAGAGGCGCCCUUCACUACAGACUAGCCCUCCUGUCCGGAGCCUGCAGUGCAGCCCCUCAGUCCAGAGGCGCCCCUCAGUCCAGAGGCGCCCUUCACUCCAGACUCACCCUCCUGUCCGGAGCCUGCAGUGCAGGCAAUAGUUUACCCUACUGAACACAACUCAGGUUUUGAUUUGGGGUCGAUUUAUCUAUAUAUUGAGGGCCAUCACUGUCCUCACUGAUGUGACAAUCCGCUCCUCAAUGCGACAUUUCCCAUGGACUUAAUUUCCCAUGCAAAUCCUGCUGAAACCUACUUCCUGUUUAUAGGGGGAUUGUAGGUGUGAUCCGUAGGUGUGAACAGGAAAUGACAGCUCUUGUUUGAUUCCCCUGAGGCGAGAGGGAGACAGGGUAGUCUUUGGGCGCCUUCCAGCAGAUCACUUUUGUCAAGAUGUUGACCAAUGUUGGUCAUCGCCUUUCCAAGUGUGCUGCAUUAUGGGUAUAAAAAUUGUUGACUGCAUGACCUUUAUAACAACCAUGUGAUCAAAGGUCAUGAACUUUCAACUGCAGUAGACUGGACAUUUCUGCAGUUGCUCCUCACCAACUGAAACUUGAAGUCGGAAACAAAGCAUUGUGGCAAAGAUUUGUAUAAAUAAACCAAGAUAGACCACAGCUAAUCGUUUACAAUGGGAAUAAAUUAGUCAUAGUGGGCUGAACAAGCAAGGAGGUGGGCAGAGCCAAGCACGAGCUAUCGAGAUCCUAUUGGCACAUUCUAGUAUACAUCUGCAUUUUUCCAUUAGGGAACUAAUUUUUUUUUUUUACGCAAUGGGUAAAGUCGACAAAACUUAGUCCACUCUGUUCAUAAAAUAUUCUAGUUUUGGGAAGAGAAAAUUGAUUUGAGAUCAAAUAUUUCAUUGAUGAGAAGAUUUGCAGAAUGUCUGCCAAAAUCCAUCUCGUUCCAUCUUCUCCCAAUGCCGGCUGUGGGCUUCCUCUCACUACCAUAUUUGGUAGUGAGUGGAAACGGCAAGCGGAUGCUUCACAUUUAUACAUCCGGUGUAAUGUCUGUCUCAUUGUUCUAUCUGUGAUUGUGGGAAAUGACCUUCUUAAUUUUGAGGGGAAUUAAAAGGCACAACUGUACAUGCUCAUAAAUGGUUGAUGUCGCCACCUAUCAUUGGUUAUUAUCAAUGCAUGUGUACUGUUUUGGAUGGAUGACUAUUUAGAGCUUAAAUACAUCUUUAUCCUUACACCCUUAAGAUCUAAUUACAUAGGCCUACAUGUGAUCCAAAUUUCUAACACAAAUAAAUGAAAUAUCCUACUUACGACAAUAUAGCUAAUGUAUUUAUCCAGAUGUUACUGUAAUGUGGUGUCCCAUGUUGUAGCCUACAAUUAGUCUUGUCUGUAAUAUUGUUGUCAGCAAACAAACAAACAUACAUUUGUUGAUUGUAUUUUAAAUGUGAAUAAAAUUUAAAUCCUAUUGUAGACUACACAUGGAUUAUUGUAGAAAUUGUAGCUUAAUCUGUGUCUGGAAAACCGUCC